ACUGGUGAAUGACGAAAGUAAACCAUUAAUUUAUGUAAUUCCAUUUUCAACACACUUUGGUCUGUGUUCUGCUCAAUUCCAAUCUAAUAGCACAAGGCUAGUCUUAUCUUAAGGUGCUCUUGAGAAGAAGUCUCCCAGAGACUGGUCACAUCAGUGUAUUUAUGACAAUGGUUCCACCUUGCAGGGCUUUGUUAUGUGUUGCUUAGUAACAUAAAUGUAACCCACUUCCUGCUUUGAUUCUAAAAUUAAUUCUAGGGUAUUCUAAUGGACAGCUUCUCAAGGCAUUUGCCUCAUGAGGACAGAAGUUCAAGCCUUGUUGGUUUUUGAAAUGUUGGACAUUCUGUAUGGACUCGGGAGGUUUGAAGGAAGAAAACUCUCUCCAUCCUGUUAUGCCCUUCAGUGUUAAUUAUGCCUUCAGUGUUCCCCAUCACUUUAGGACAGUUAGGGGUGUUUGAGAAAUCCCUCUUCAGCUAUGAUAAAGACUGAUGUGAAGACAUUUGCAGGGAACUGCAUGCAACUGGGAGUGUAAUGGUGAGUGAGGUAAGCCACACUCUGAAAGAUGAUUAAAUAGCACACAUUCUGUCUCAUAAGUGGAAUCUGAAUUUCACUGUGUCACUAUGUUGACUCCUCAUGGGAGCCCUUACCCAUGAGGAGGAGUGGACUAGGGGUGGGCUGGGGGGAAGGAGGCAUGGGAGAGAGAACUGUGGUUGGAACAUAAAAUGAAAUCAAAAAUUAAAAAACAAAAAAAAGAAAGAACAGGUAAAAUCAAAUAAAUUUUAAUGUGUUUAUAUGAUUAACUCCA
rnacentral:lncRNA from 1 species